AUGUUCCAGUUAGAAUCGUCCCAGUGAACAAGCACCAAACCAGCGGUAAGUUGUUGGUUGCAAAGCACCGUACGUCAAAAGUGAUUUUUAUCCUCUCAAGUGACGAUUUAAAUGUACAAUUUAUAUAAAAUUGUUUGUAAAUGUUAUUCGAACAUCACACAUAAGAUGCAGCGGUUUUUGGAGAAUAUUUGUUGUGCAUUUUGUUGUAAAGAAUUCCCGCCAGUACUAACUAGCAACUUACUGUGUCUGGUGUGGGGGGUCAUAUAUUUUGUACAGUGCGUGAGUGCAGAGUUGGAUGGUGAGACGAGCAUUGCAUGACGUGCAAUUUUGUGCCGUUCCUAUCAGGUACAUUGUUAAAGAUAUUAUAUUGUAUAUUGCAAUUGUAUUAUAUUGGUAACUACCCCAGUGAACAAGCACCAAACCAGCGUGCCUGAGUGCAGAGUUGGAUGGUGAGACGAGCAUUGCAUGACGUGCAAUUUUGUGCCGUUCCUAUCAGAAUAAAUCUACAUGACUGGUGCUACAUGUUGGAGUUCAGUGUCGAUGACUGAUUGUACACAACGCAAGAAGAGUACUGUUACAUACGCACUACCCUCUGUACUGCCUUGCGGGCGGAGGUGCGCAGUUGCCAUACCGUGCAGUGAUGCACCACGCUCUCGAUGGUGCAGCUGUAAAACCUUUUGAGGAUCAAAUGUGCCUAAUUGGUUUACUAAUACAUGUUGAAGUUAAUAACUGUGCUCUCUCCUCAAACAAUAGCAUGGUAUUAUUUCACUGUAAUAGCUACUGUAAAUUGGACAGUGUAGUUAGAUUAACAAGAAUUUAAGCGUUCUGACAAUAUCAGAUAUGCCUAUGUCCUGGGAAAUGUUCUUGUUACUCACCUCAUACUAAUCACAUUAGCCUACGUUAGCUCAACCGUCCUACUGGGGACCCACCGAUCCUGUAGAGGUUUUAAGCUAAAUUUGUUGUGAAUGAUCUGCUGUGCUGUCAGAAUCUGUGUUUUUGCCAAGACUCCAUACAAAUGUACAGAGAUGUGGCCACUUGAUUUAAUGUAAUUUUCCUUUCUUAAAAGUUUGUAAAUACAAAAUGUCAUCCAUAUAACCUAUAAAUAAAAGGAACAUGAAAUGUACUUGA